AUGCAGUCGAACGGUGAUAGCAAUAUCAUAGUGGCGCACGGGUGCGUAACACGUAUGCAACCUACCUUAUACUGAGGGAUAGCCUUUCGAAAGGGAGAUUAAUACCUCAUAACACAUUGAACUGGCAUCAGUUUAUUGUUAAAGAUUUAUUGGUAUAAGAUGGGCAUGCGUCCAAUUAGUUAGUUGGCGAGGUAACGGCUCACCAAGACGAUGAUUGGUAGGGGAACUGAGAGGUUAAUCCCCCACACUGGCACUGAGAUACGGGCCAGACUCCUACGGGAGGCAGCAGUAGGGAAUAUUGGGCAAUGGAGGCAACUCUGACCCAGCCAUGCCGCGUGCAGGAAGAAGGCGUUAUGCGUUGUAAACUGCUUUUAUAUAGGAAGAAAUAGACCUUGCGAGGUAAGUUGACGGUACUAUAUGAACAAGCACCGGCUAACUCCGUGCCAGCAGCCGCGGUAAUACGGAGGGUGCAAGCGUUGUCCGGAUUUAUUGGGUUUAAAGGGUGCGUAGGCGGUUUAUUAAGUCAGUGGUGAAAGACGGUCGCUCAACGAUUGCAGUGCCAUUGAUACGGGUAGACUUGAGUGGGAUUGAGGUAGCUGGAAUGGAUAGUGUAGCGGUGAAAUGCAUAGAUAUUAUCCAGAACACCAAUUGCGUAGGCAAGUUACUAAGUCUCAACUGACGCUGA
rnacentral:rRNA from 1 species